rnacentral:siRNA from 1 species
UGUUGUAGGUGUGAUGACUGUAGC